rnacentral:miRNA from 1 species
UAAGAAAAUGUGGUGUGUGUGUGUGUGUGUGUGUGUGUGUGUAUAUAUAUAUAUAUAUACACACACACAUACAUAUACAUACACAACACAUA